CAAAUAUAUUGUAUCCAACAGGAUUGUUCUUGGGGAAAUGGAAACAGUAGACUCUCUUAAGAUGAGAAUGGCCUUAAGACUGUUGAUACCAGCAGUGAACUUUCAUAUCCUUCAUAAUAAAAAAGAGUUAAGACCAGAAGACAUUGUAGGAGAUCUGAGGACACCUGAACAAGGAAACUGGAGGAAAUUUGCUGUUGUUCUAAAUCUAACUUAGUGACUUCAUUGCAAAUUCAUGAGCAGAUUCUCUUUCUUGCAAACUAUGGGUUAAAACCACAGCCUUGAGGCUAUUUUGACUACCUUUUGUUUAGUGACAGAGGUCUUUUUUCAGCCUCUGAUUCAAGUGCAACAAACUAAUUGAUUUUUGACAUGUUACUUUUGUUUGACAAUAGAGGAAAGAUGACCUAACAGAUUAAAAAACAUCUACUUUGCUUGCUAUUUUUUUCCCUUCUAGAGUGCAAUUCACUCAGUGUUAUGCUUGCUGAUAAUUUAUGUUUUUUACAUAUGUUGUAUUAUGUGGUCAUAAUCAAAUUUCUCAAGUUAAAAGAACCUUCUUACAAAAAUCAGUUAUUUUUGGGCACUUACAAUUUAUUUUUGUACUAUUUAAGAUUCUUUGUAAUAAUUUUGUGCUAUUUAAGAUUCUUUGUAAUAAUGCUUAGGGUAACAUAAAAAAAAAGAAAAAAGUGACACAAAUUCACCUGUAGAUAAUCUCUAAAGAGGAAAAAAUUGGGAAUAUUCUUCCCUAAACUGUGUAAAUAAAGGAGUUAGUCAACCAGAUAGCUUUGUGCACACAUGAAGAUAGCAACUGCAAAAUCCUACUUCAACUUAUCUGUCAUAUUGUAAUGAAUACCAAUGAAUACCAGGUUACCAAUUAAUUGACUUGUGUAUCUCAAGAAUUUGUGGAACACCCAGGUAAUGAUAUGGAUAUUUAAGAUUACAGUGACAACUAGCUUUAAUGGAGAGAGUGACAGAAGCAAUUGGGAGUUACAGAGGUUACAGUGACAAUGACGUCAGUUCAGAGACAGUGACAGCAGUAACAGAGACAGUGACAGCAGUUACAGAGUGACAGUUGUAACAGAGACAGUCACAGCAGUAACAGAGACAGUCAAAGCAGUAACAGACAGUUAUGGCAGCUACAGAGUGACAGCUGUAACAGAGACAGUGCAAGCAGUAACAGAGACAGUGACAGCAGCUAAUGAGUGACAGCAGUAACAGAGAGGGUGACAACAGUAACAGUGAGUGACAGCAGUAACAGAGACAAUGACAGCAGUUACAGAGUGACGGCCGUAACAGAGACAGUGACAGCAGUUAAUGAGUGACAUCAGUAACAGAGAGGGUGACAGCAGUAACAGAGAGUGAUAGCAGUAACAUAGAGUGACAGUAGUAACAGAGACAAUGACUGUGUUUUUUGUUCUUCAUUAAGUUUUGCCAACGCGCGGGAAAAAUUGUUAACAAACAGCGUACCAUUUUCUGCGUGAGAUGUUCUUUGGAACGACUAGCGUUAAACGCUAUCUCAUUUUGAAUGAAAUUUUAAGCGGACUUUGUGCGUGGUGGACAAAAGGUUGGAAAAAUAGGGAACACCACUUGGGGUAACUAUCCAGCACUUUCACCGACACUGAAGUGAAUUAUUGUUUACGUAUAUGCUAUACAGAAACCAAUAAAAUUAGUACCGACAAGUGAUCACAAGUAGCCA
rnacentral:lncRNA from 1 species